rnacentral:rRNA from 1 species
UGGGGAAUAUUGCACAAUGGGCGAAGCCUGAUGCAGCGACGCCGCGUGAGCGAAGAAGUAUUUCGGUAUGUAAAGCUCUAUCAGCAGGGAAGAAAAUGACGGUACCUGACUAAGAAGCCCCGGCUAACUACGUGCC